rnacentral:rRNA from 1 species
AUUGAACGCUGGCGGAAUGCUUUACACAUGCAAGUCGAACGGUAGAGGGGGCAACCCUUGAGAGUGGCGAACGGGUGAGUAAUAUAUCGGAACGUGCCCAGUCGUGGGGGAUAACGUAGCGAAAGUUACGCUAAUACCGCAUAUCCCCUGAGGGGGAAAGCAGAGAUGCGCCCACGGAGCAGCCUGCGUCCGAUUAGCUAGUUGGUUAGGUAAAGGCUGACCAAGGCGACGAUCGGUAGCUGGUCUGAGAGGAUGAUCAGCCACACUGGAACUGAGACACGGUCCAGACUCCUACGGGAGGCAGCAGUGGGGAAUAUUGGACAAUGGGCGCAAGCCUGAUCCAGCAAUUCCGCGUGGGUGAAGAAGGUCUUCGGAUUGUAAAGCCCUUUCGUUGGGGACGAUGAUGACGGUACCCAAAGAAGAAGCCCCGGCUAACUUCGUG